UUUAACACCUCUUAAACUCAUUUUUAGCCCUUCCAAUCUCGUUGGAAUGCUAAUUGGAACUUGUUCAUCUAUUUGUUUCGCAUUAUUCACUUUUAAAUCGCGCUGAGCAAUGCUAAAACUUGCUUAACACUCUCGGGACUCGACUUUGACCCUUCCAACAUUGUUAGCAUGUCAACUAGAGUUUGUCCAUCUAUUUCUCUCGGCACUUUAAUCCAUUU
rnacentral:lncRNA from 1 species